rnacentral:tRNA from 1 species
UCUAAUAUGGCAGAAUAGUGCACUGAAUUUAAGAUUCAUUUAUAAAGAUUCAUCUUUUAUUAGAA